CCUUACCCUCCAAUUUGUUGAGGUACCCAUCAUCCUUCCUGAAACGUGCAAGCAAGCUUUGGAUGCCAUACUAGGAGGCACGCCAAAUCCACUGGACUUGGAAGCCAACAUUUGUACAGGACCAUUGACAGGAGGAGUCGGUAUUUGUUCUGGAGAUUCUGGCGGUCCACUGGCUGACGCCCAAGGACAAAAACUAAUUGGUAUCGCGACAUGGACAGCCAAUCCAUGCGGUAGACCAGGAGCGCCUUCUGUCUACAACAGAGUUAGCCAGUACAUCAGCUGGAUCACAAGUUCUAUCUCUGUCUAAGUACGUUCAAUUCAUUUAUUACCUAUUUAGUUUGCGAAAUAAAGUAUUAGUUCGCUA